rnacentral:rRNA from 1 species
AGAGUUUGAUCAUGGCUCAGGACGAACGCUUGCGGCGUGCCUAAGAAAUGCAAGUCGAGCGGGGAGCUUCGGCUCCUAGCGGCGAACGGUCGCGUAACACGUAAGCAACCUGCCUCAGAGACCGGGACAACAGCCCGAAAGGGCUGCUAAUACCGGAUGGCGUUCCCUGGUGGCCUCACCGGGGAACCAAAGCGAGCAAU